rnacentral:rRNA from 1 species
UACGUAGGGUGCAAGCGUUAAUCGGAAUUACUGGGCGUAAAGCGUGCGCAGGCGGUUUUGUAAGACAGGCGUGAAAUCCCCGGGCUCAACCUGGGAAUUGCGCUUGUGACUGCAAAGCUGGAGUGCGGCAGAGGGGGAUGGAAUUCCGCGUGUAGCAGUGAAAUGCGUAGAUAUGCGGAGGAACACCGAUGGCGAAGGCAAUCCCCUGGGCCUGCACUGACGCUCAUGUACGAAAGCGUGGGGAGCAAACAGG